rnacentral:rRNA from 1 species
AGAGUUUGAUCCUGGCUCAGGAUGAACGCUAGCGGCAGGCCUAACACAUGCAAGUCGAACGGUAACAGAUCUCUCGGGAUGCUGACGAGUGGCGCACGGGUGCGUAACACGUAUGCAAUCUACCUCUAACUGGAGAAUAGCCCAGGGAAACCUGGAUUAAUACUCCAUAAUAUUACAACAUCGCAUGGUGAUGUAAUUAAAGCUUUGGCGGUUAGAGAUGAGCAUGCGCCCUAUUAGCUAGUUGGUGAGGUAAUGGCUCACCAAGGCAACGAUAGGUAGGGGGUCUGAGAGGAUUAUCCCCCACACUGGUACUGAGACACGGACCAGACUCCUACGGGAGGCAGCAGUGAGGAAUAUUGGGCAAUGGACGAAAGUCUGACCCAGCCAUGCCGCGUGCAGGAUGACGGCCCUAUGGGUUGUAAACUGCUUUUAUAUAGGAAGAAACUUUUCUACGUGUAGAAAACUGACGGUACUAUUUGAAUAAGGACCGGCUAACUCCGUGCCAGCAGCCGCGGUAAUACGGAGGGUCCAAGCGUUAUCCGGAUUCAUUGGGUUUAAAGGGUCCGUAGGCGGACUUUUAAGUCAGAGGUGAAAGCCUACAGCUUAACUGUAGAAUUGCCUUUGAUACUGGAAGUCUUGAGUAUAAUUGAAGUGGGCGGAAUAAGUCAUGUAGCGGUGAAAUGCAUAGAUAUGACUUAGAACACCGAUUGCGAAGGCAGCUCACUAAGCUAUAACUGACGCUGAGGGACGAAAGCGUGGGGAGCAAACAGGAUUAGAUACCCUGGUAGUCCACGCUGUAAACGAUCAUUACUCGCUGUUGGCGAUACACAGUCAGCGGCUAAGCGAAAGCGUUAAGUAAUGCACCUGGGGAGUACGUUCGCAAGAAUGAAACUCAAAGGAAUUGACGGGGGCCCGCACAAGCGGUGGAGCAUGUGGUUUAAUUCGAUGAUACGCGAGGAACCUUACCAGGGCUUAAAUGUAGAAUGACCUUCCCGGAAACGGGGAUUCUCUUCGGAGCGAUUUACAAGGUGCUGCAUGGUUGUCGUCAGCUCGUGCCGUGAGGUGUUAGGUUAAGUCCUGCAACGAGCGCAACCCCUAUCUUUAGUUGCCAGCGAUUCGGUCGGGGACUCUAAAGAGACUGCCAGCGCAAGCUGUGUGGAAGGUGGGGAUGACGUCAAAUCAACACGGCCCUUACGCCCUGGGCUACACACGUGCUACAAUGGUAGAGACAGAGGGCAGCCACCUGGUGACAGGGAGCGAAUCCUUAAACUCUAUCUCAGUUCGGAUCGAAGUCUGCAACUCGACUUCGUGAAGCUGGAAUCGCUAGUAAUCGCGCAUCAGCCAUGGCGCGGUGAAUACGUUCCCGGGCCUUGUACACACCGCCCGUCAAGCCAUGGAAGCCGGGGGUACCUGAAGUCGGUAACCGCAAGGAGCUGCCUAGGGUAAAACUGGUAACUAGGGCUAAGUCGUAACAAGGUA